rnacentral:rRNA from 1 species
GUGGGGAAUAUUGGACAAUGGGCGAAAGCCUGAUCCAGCCAUGCCGCGUGUGUGAAGAAGGUCUUCGGAUUGUAAAGCACUUUAAGUUGGGAGGAAGGGCAGUAAGUUAAUACCUUGCUGUUUUGACGUUACCGACAGAAUAAGCACCGGCUAACUUCGUGCCAGCAGCCGCGGUAAUACGAAGGGUGCAAGCGUUAAUCGGAAUUACUGGGCGUAAAGCGCGCGUAGGUGGUUUUGUAAGUUGGAGGUGUAAUCCCCGGGCUCAACCUGGGAACUGCCUCCAAAACUGCAUGACUAGAGUACGGUAGAGGGUAGUGGAAUUUCCUGUGUAGCGGUGAAAUGCGUAGAUAUAGGAAGGAACACCAGUGGCGAAGGCGACUACCUGGACUGAUACUGACACUGAGGUGCGAAAGCGUGGGGAGCAAACAGGAUUAGAAACCCUGGUAGUCC